rnacentral:rRNA from 1 species
UGGGGAAUAUUGCACAAUGGAGGGAACUCUGAUGCAGCGACGCCGCGUGAGUGAUGAAGGAAUUCGUUUCGUAAAACUCUGUUCUAUGGGAAGAAAAGGACUGUACCAUAGGAGAAAGCUCCGGCUAAAUACGUGCCAGCAGCCGCGGUAAUACGUAUGGAGCGAGCGUUGUCCGGAAUUAUUGGGCGUAAAGGGUGCGCAGGCGGCUUUACAAGUUGGAUGUGAAAUAUUGUGGCUCAACCACAAACGUGCAUCCAAAACUGCAAAGCUUGAGUUAAGGAGAGGUAAGUGGAAUUCCUGGUGUAGCGGUGGAAUGCGUAGAUAUCAGGAGGAAUACCGGUGGCGAAGGCGACUUACUGGACUUAAACUGACGCUAAGGCACGAAAGCGUGAGGAGCAAACAGG